GACGAACGCUGGCGGCGUGCUUAACACAUGCAAGUCGAACGGAAAGGCCCUGCUUUUGUGGGGUGCUCGAGUGGCGAACGGGUGAGUAACACGUGAGUAACCUGCCCUUGACUUUGGGAUAACUUCAGGAAACUGGGGCUAAUACCGGAUAGGAGCUCCUGCCGCAUGGUGGGGGUUGGAAGGUUUCGGCGGUUGGGGAUGGACUCGCGGCUUAUCAGCUUGUUGGUGGGGUAGUGGCUUACCAAGGCUUUGACGGGUAGCCGGCCUGAGAGGGUGACCGGCCACAUUGGGACUGAGAUACGGCCCAGACUCCUACGGGAGGCAGCAGUGGGGAAUAUUGCACAAUGGGCGGAAGCCUGAUGCAGCAACGCCGCGUGCGGGAUGACGGCCUUCGGGUUGUAAACCGCUUUCGCCUGUGACGAAGCGUGAGUGACGGUAAUGGGUAAAGAAGCACCGGCUAACUACGUG
rnacentral:rRNA from 1 species